rnacentral:rRNA from 1 species
AUUGAACGCUGGCGGCAUGCUUUACACAUGCAAGUCGAACGGUAACAGGGUGCUUGCACCGCUGACGGGUGGCGAACGGGUGAGUAAUGCGUCGGAACGUGCCGAGUAGUGGGGGAUAACGCAGCGAAAGCUGUGCUAAUACCGCAUACGAACUGAGGUUGAAAGUGGGGGACCUUCGGGCCUCACGCUAUUCGAUCGGCCGACGUCUGAUUAGCUAGUUGGUAGGGUAAAGGCCUACCAAGGCGACGAUCAGUAGCGGGUCUGAGAGGAUGAUCCGCCACACUGGGACUGAGACACGGCCCAGACUCCUACGGGAGGCAGCAGUGGGGAAUUUUGGACAAUGGGGGAAACCCUGAUCCAGCCAUGCCGCGUGUCUGAAGAAGGCCUUCGGGUUGUAAAGGGCUUUUGUCCGGGAGCAAAUACCCAGUGCUAUAACGCUGGGGGCUGAGAGUACCGGAAGAAUAAGCACCGGCUAACUACGUGCCAGCCGCCGCCGUAAUAC